GAAGCGAAACUUUGUGGUUCAAACAUUAUUUUCAUUACUCUUUCUUUCAUUUUUUAUAAAGUAUCGUUCGAACUCGUUUCAAUGGCUGUAAAAGUAGCGUUAUUUAUAACAAUUUUUUUGUUACUAAGUUACGACGUAUUACUUGAUGAUGGAACCCCCGACUGGAUGAAACAGAUGAUAGUCAAUUUUGAAAAAGCUGAAAAUUUCAGCCGAAUAGCUGAAAAUUAUAAAUGCACAAUAGAGUACUUGAGAUGUCAACCAUUAUUUCUCGGAGUCAUCGUUCAUUAUGAAGAGAAUGUAAUUAAAGCCAGUACUGUUGACCUCAAAAAUAAAUUUCCAGACAUGGACGAAGAAUUCAUAAAAUGGCAUGAAGAAUUCAAGAAGGGAUAUGGACGUUAUGCAGCUCGUGUUUUAGAAUGGAAUGGGUUAUGGUUUGAUGUAAAUGCAGAUGAUAUCGUUUUUCUGUCCGAAAAUAGAAUUAAUGAUACAAAAUCAUUGGACUGCUGGAAUAAUAGACGGUUGGUGUUAUGGAUUUCGUUCCUUGAUGGGAUUAAGAAAACGGUACGCAGCAUGAAAUACAAUACAAAAACUAAUAAGUAUGAGCUGGUACCUCCAAAACAUAUUCUUCUAAAAGUUUGGUGGGACAUAUUGGAUAAAUUUGAAAAAAUCCAUUUUGAUCCAAUUAAUUUCGCAAGACUAAUUAGUCAUGAAGUGGAAGUAGUAAAUUUUCAAGCUUAUGACCCUGUUUAUUUUUCGCCCAAAGAGUUGGAAGAACACUUAGAUGAGUUUAAAAAUUGUGUAUCGUCAGCACUGAUUCGGUAUCAUAACAUUCCUUCUGCAUCAUCAACAAGAAGUAUUUGGGAUGUACUUUCGUUGUCAACAAUGACAAACGCACGGACUCCCCUUCACCCCUCUGAGGGAACGAGAAGGCUAGGAUGGAAAGAGCGACAUUUCUAGGGCGUGACACCAUAAUCUGAAGUAAAGAUUAUGUUGCUGACUGAAAAUUAAGUUACCUAUAGUAAUGAAGUUUCUUAUUAAGCAAUUCAUGUGUGAUUUUUUUCAUGACGGAUUACCUGAUGAUGGAACCCCCGACUGGGUGAAACAGAUCAUCGUUCAUUAUGAAGAGAAUGUAAUUAAAGCCAGUACUGCUACCAUCAAGAAAAUUUUUCCAGACAUGGACGAAAAAUUCUUAACCUGGCAUGAAGAAUUCAAGACCAUAAUCUGAAACGGAUUACCUGAUGAUGGAACCCCCGACUGGGUGAAACAGAUCAUCGUUCAUUAUGAAGAGAAUGUAAUUAAAGCCAGUACUGCUACCAUCAAGAAAAUUUUUCCAGACAUGGACGAAAAAUUCUUAACCUGGCAUGAAGAAUUCAAGAAGGGAUACGGACGUUAUGCAGCUCGUGUCUUAGAAUUUCUUGGGAAAUGGUUUGAUGUAAAUGCAGAUGAUAUCGUUAAUCUUCCCCAAAAAAUAGAAUCAAUGAUACAGAAUCAUUUGACUGCUGGAAUAAUAGACGGUUGGGUUGGUGUUAUGGAUUUCGUUCCUUCAUGAGAUUAGGAAAAUGAUACCUAAAGUAUUCAAUUUAAAAACUUAUAGCUAUGAGGCAAUACCCCCUAAACAUGUUCUUCUGAAAGUUUGGUGGAACAUAUUGGAUAAAUUUGGAAGCAAGCUUAUGACCACGUUUAUUUUUCAACGAAAGAGUUGGAAGAACAAUUGGAUGAGUUUAAACCUCUGCACCAUCAACGACAAGUAUUUGGGAUGUACUUUCGUUGUCAACAAGGACGAACGCACGGACCCCACCUCACUCCUUUGAGCGAACUAGUAGGCCAGGAAGGAAAGAGCAACAUUUUAGGGCGUGACACCAUAAUCUGAAGUUAGGAUUAAAUUGCUGACUGAAAACUAACUUAUUAUCUAUAGUAAAGAAAUUUCUUAUCAA